AUGACUCUCGGCAACGGAUAUCUUAGCUUUCACAUUGAUGAAGAAUGUAAUGAAAUGCGAUACUUGGUGUGAAUUGCAUAAUCUUAUGAACCAUCAAGUCUUUGAAAGCAAGUUGCACCCUAAGUUAUUAGGCUAAGGGCACACUUGCUUGAGUGUCAUGCAUCAUCACCCCCUCCAACUCCCCACCUUUUAGGCUCUAGGUAAAGAGGGCAGAAGAUCGACUACCAUGAUCUCAUCGAUCAUGGUUGGCCUAAAAGCAUGUCAUCGACAACAAUAAUGCUAUGAUCAUCGAUGGUAAAGCUCCCGAUGUGCCUUAUCUUUGGUAACAAGUACUCAUUUUCCAUUCGGAUCCCAUCAGACCUCAUGCAUCACUUGGUUGAUGCCCACAUCAUGACUCGUGGUCAGUGGGAUUACCUAUUGAGUUUAAGCAUAUCAAUAAGUGGAGGAAAAGAAACUUACUAGGAUUCCCCUAGUAAUGAUGACUGAACUAGGAAAAGCCCAGCUUGAGAGUCUGGCACCUCCGAUGUCUAAAUUGUAGUUUGGAGAUGCAUCUUUAGUGGUGGACCAGGCCCAAGUCCCUUGCAAAGAGGCAUCAAAGAGGGUGAGAGCUAUGUUGUGCCUAGACCUUAUCCAACUAUUAAGCGUUAUUUAUGAGUUGGGUUGUUUAGGAAUGUAGCCCCAAAUGAGAAGUAAAUUUUGUCUAAAGCUGAAUAUGGGUGAGAGACUGAUAGUAAAUAAGUAUCGCAAGAGAAAAAUAAAAGGACACUGAAAAAAAAGUCAAAUAGUGCUUGAAAUUGUUGGGAAUGAAGCAAAUGGGGGCCAGUGAUGCACCUCGAUUAGAUGUGGAAUGUUGAGAGCUAGUUCAUCAAUCAGCUAUGGUGUGGACUGAUGUGGGUCAUGGUAGCGCCCAACCUAAGCUUUUGAUAUGUUUGUCAAAUGCAGUAUGCACCAUUUCAGUGUGCUAUAGCACCUGCAUGUUCCUGGUGUAGGCCUACGGGCUCCCCAUCUGGCCUAUCUUGAAACACAGACCAAGGAAUCUGACAUGUGUGUGAACAAAUAGGCUAGAAAACUUGUAAAGUGUAAGGAAGCUAAUUUGUGGGAUCCUUCGCAGGUGCACCAUUGACUAACCUUGAUCUUCUAAGAAGGGUUCGAAUGUGAGCAUGCCUAUUGAGACACAAAAGAUGGUGAACUAUGCCUGAGUAGGGUGAAGCCAAAAAUGCUUUGGUGGAUGCCCACAGCAAUACUAAUGUACAAAUCGUUCAUUUGACUUGGGUAUAGAGGUGAAAGACUAAUCAGACUAUCUAGUAACUGAUUCCCUCCAAAGUUUCCCUCAAGAUAGCUAUAGCCCUUAACAAGUUUUAUCAAGUAAAGCCAAUUAUUAGAGACAUUAGAGGCAUAUCGCCUUUAACCUAUUCUCAAACUUUAAAUAGGUAGGAUGGUGUGGCCACUUCAUUAAGCCACUUAUAGAAUUGAGAGCUCUAAUUGUGCCAUUUUUUGUAAAUAGAAUUGGUGAUGUAAAUGAACUAAAAGCUAGGUUACGGUACCCAACUGUAUGCUAACCUAGAACCCACAAAGAGUGUUGGUCGAUUACGGUAGCAAGAUAGUGGUUAUGCAAGUUGAAAUACACUAAAAAGUGUGUAACAACUCAUCUGCCAAAUCAACUAGCCCUAGAAAUGGAUGGCGCUUAAGUACAUGACCAAUACUUGGCCAUCGGGGCAAAGGCCAAGCCUCGAUGAGUAAGAAGGCAUGGUAGUCACCAUAAAACUCGAGGCACCAACCCCAGCAAAGCUACCAUCAGUGCAUAUCUUAGUGGUAGUAGCAAAUAUUCAAAUGACAACUUUGAAGGCUGAAGAAGGGAAAGGUUCCAAGUGAAUAGCACUUGCACAUAAGUUAGUCAAUCCUAAGAGACAAGGGAAAAGACAAGGGAAGCCCAUCUAACAAUGCAUCCAGUGUGAGAUCCGAAAAGGAAUCAGGUUAAAGUUCCUGAAUUGGAACAUGGUGACUGAUGGAAAUGUUAGGCCAUGCGAAGACAUUGGUAGGGUCUUUAAGAAAAGUUAUCUUUUUUGUCUGCCCACCUAAGAAAUAACUCAGCCAAAGGAAAGGUCCAACAGUUAAAAGAGCACCACAUGUCAUGGGGUGUCUUGUGCACCUUUACCUACCCUUGAAAAUUCAAAAGACUGAAUGACAUCCAUUCCAAGUCAUACUCAUAACUACAUUAGGUCUCCAAGCUGAACCACCUCUAAUUGAUGGAACAAUGUAGGCAAAGGAAGUUAGCAAUAUGGAUCCAUAACCUUGGGAAAAAGAUUGGCUCUAAGGUUUGGGCAUAGAAGUUCCCAAUCCCAAACUCAUCGAUUGUCAAUGUACUACUCAAGCUGUUCUUGAGGUAAGAGAGGGUCAUCACGCACUGGCUAGGGGACAGACUAGGAAUGGCUCCCUUAGGGGCCUUCCCUAGAUGACAAGUAGUGAGCAAGCAUGUAAAGGUUAAAAGGAGCCUGAAAGGUUAAAAGGAGCCUAAAAAUAGGCCAAGUGCACAGGCAUGGAAAGGUUAAAAGGAGCCUGAAAAUAGGCCAAGCAUGUAGGCAUGGAAGGGCCUAGAGAAGCUAGGGGACAAGCCAGGUGCAUGGGCACCAAAGGUUCUAAAAGGAUCAAGUACAGGCACAUUGCCAACCACUGUGGUGCUAAGAUGAAGAAGUCCCUAGAAGACCUAGCUAUGGGUAGAAUGCCACCCGAAUGGAGAAAGCUCUUAGGUAACUCUUAAGAGGAAGUUGGUUCAGCAAUAGAUGCAUUGGUGUCAUGGCAAGAGAAAGGGAUGAUCAUGAUUGUGUGCCAAGGACCAUUAGGAUGAGGGAUAGUCAUCGAUCCAGUAUAUGUGUGUAGUGAAGGAUCAACAUUCACCUAGCAAUGAGGGCAUUGCUAGAAUGAAUGGGGUAAAAUGUCAUGAAUUGCACAUGAGGUCCUAGACCAAAAGGGUCAUGUGACAAGACUUGUUUGAGAUGGUAUGAGUAAUGGAUUAGGAAAAAUUAAAACCAAGGCCUUAAAGGCACAUACUUUACACAAGUGUCAGGGCAAGGCCAAGGCCACAGUGCAAGAGUACACUCAAGAUGAGCUACACGAUGAUAGAGAUGAGGAUUGCUUGUUGGAAGGUUCUAGAACACCCCAACAUGUGGUGCAACCAGUUAGGUAUAAAAAGGCCUAGAACCAUCUAGAGACAUGCUAGGCAUACAAGCAUGAAAGGGCCUAAAACUACUUGGGGAUAGGCCAGAUGUGUGGGCAUAGAAGGACUUAGAAAAGCUUGGUAAUGGGCCAAGCACAUGGGCAUGGAAUGGUUUAGAGAAGCUUGGGGGUAGCUAGUUGUUUAGGCACUAAAGGUUCCAAAAGGGCCAGGCAUGGGC
rnacentral:rRNA from 1 species